AAUCAACGCUGGCGGCGUGCCUAACACAUGCAAGUCGAACGCGGUUAUCCAGCAAUGGAUAACUGAGUGGCAAACGGGUGAGUAACACGUGGGUGACCUACCUUCGAGUGGGGGAUAACG
rnacentral:rRNA from 1 species